rnacentral:rRNA from 1 species
CCUACGGGGGGCUGCAGUGGGGAAUAUUGGACAAUGGGGGCAACCCUGAUCCAGCCAUGCCGCGUGUGUGAAGAAGGCCCUCGGGUUGUAAAGCACUUUCAGCGAGGAAGAACGCCUGGUGGUUAAUACCCAUCAGGAAAGACAUCACUCACAGAAGAAGCACCGGCUAACUCCGUGCCAGCAGCCGCGGUAAUACGGAGGGUGCGAGCGUUAAUCGGAAUUACUGGGCGUAAAGCGCGCGUAGGUGGCUUGAUAAGCCGGUUGUGAAAGCCCCGGGCUCAACCUGGGAACGGCAUCCGGAACUGUCAAGCUAGAGUGCAGGAGAGGAAGGUAGAAUUCCCGGUGUAGCGGUGAAAUGCGUAGAGAUCGGGAGGAAUACCAGUGGCGAAGGCGGCCUUCUGGACUGACACUGACACUGAGGUGCGAAAGCGUGGGUAGCAAACAGGAUUAGAUACCCCAGUAGUC